ACCCAACCUACAGUCCUAUUCAAAACUUCGUAUCCGUACAAUUUUUUCCUUAUAUAUAUGUAAAAGCAAUCAAGAAUGGCUUAUGAUUGAAAAUCUGGACUAUAUACGUACUGGUUAUAUGUAUAGAUACAGAGAUGUAUGUAGGGUCAAUGAAAAAAUCUUUUAAAGAUUCUUUAAAAGUUCUUGAAGCAGAUAUUCAACAUGCUAAUACUCUAGCAGCAGAUUUUAGAAGAGAAUACGACGGGGCAUGCGUACAGAUGCGAAUGUCUUAUAGCGUGGCGGCACAGUUCUUCCUUUUCUUUGUUCAAUGGUCCGACUGCCACCUUGCUGGUGCUCUGGGCUUGUUGAGGAUCCUAAUUUACAAGGUUUAUGUCGAUGGCACCACAACAAUGUCAACCCAAGAAAGAAAGGCAAGCAUUAGAGAAUUUUAUGGUAUUAUAUAUCCAUCUUUGAUGCAACUUCAAAAUGGAGUCACUAUUUUGGAAGAUAGAAAGCAUAAGAUAUGUGUUGAACGAUAUUCAAAACGAGAAGAUGACGAUGAAAGUGAAUGUCUGGAUCUUGAAGUUGAAUCAGAAGAUGAAUGUGGUAUUUGCAUGGAAGCUAAGGAGAAACUCAUAUUACCAAAAUGUAGCCAUGCGAUGUGCUCUAGAUGCUAUAAUGACUGGCGAACAAGGUCAAUGUCAUGUCCAUUUUGCCGUGUCAGCUUAGAAAGAAUUGACCCCUGUGAACUGUGGGUGUAUGUUGACAAGAAAGAAGUGCUUGAUAUGGCCACAUUAACAUGGGAAAAUCUGAAAAGAUUCUUCCUGUACAUUGAAAAGCUCCCUCUCGUUGCUCCCGACUCGCUCUUUGACACCUACUAUUCUCAUGUGAGGUAGGGAAAAAGCAGUUGCUUUGACAAAACAACAAACAUACAGGUUCAUUUUUCCGUUCUGUUUGUAGACACAAGUUUACAACAUCACCAAUACCUUCAAGAAACUUGCUACUCUUAAUAAUUUGAUCAUGAGAAGUGUGGUACUUUCACAAGUCUUUCUAUUAGGGGGAAUUGGUCAGACAGUGGUCGUCGUAGAUUUGCUCACUUGAGAGUUCAGGUGUUUGCUGCUUCUUGUUAGAUGAACCAAGUAGCUUUCGAUAUAGAUCACUUUCAACUACAGUGAUCUCUCUAAGAUUGUUUGUACCGGAUGUUUGGUUGCAGAGUGGAGCUCUAAUGGGUUGAGAGUUCUAAUUUCUUGUAUGAUCAAAAUCUUCACAAUUAAAAUUCUAUUGACAACCUGGUUGCAUGAUAAACAAGCCACAAUGCCACGUUCCUUUCUUGCACCACGAUGACGCGCAACUAACAAUCACUAUAAAAAGUCAAGCGAUGGAAAGAAAAAUGGCAGAAUUUGUUAAGAACAAAUAACAGAUCAUCGUCGAUAAUGGCGGCCCUGAAUUUUCAAGUGUCCAGACCGAGUUUAUUUCGUAGAGGAUUUAGAUAUAUAAGUAAAUUUUUGUAUAUUAAUGAGAUUUUAUAAC